rnacentral:rRNA from 1 species
AACGAACGCUGGCGGCAUGCCUAACACAUGCAAGUCGAACGAGACCUUCGGGUCUAGUGGCGCACGGGUGCGUAACGCGUGGUAACCUGCCCUUAGGUUCGGAAUAACUCCCCGGAAGGGGUGCUAAUACCGGAUAAUGUCUUCGGACCAAAGAUUUAUCGCCUUUGGAUGGGCCCGCGUUGGAUUAGCUAGUUGGUAGGGUAAAAGCCUACCAAGGCGACGAUCCAUAGCUGGUCUGAGAGGAUGAUCAGCCACACUGGGACUGAGACACGGCCCAGACUCCUACGGGAGGCAGCAGUGGGGAAUAUUGGACAAUGGGCGAAAGCCUGAUCCAGCAAUGCCGCGUGAGUGAUGAAGGCCUUAGGGUUGUAAAGCUCUUUUACCCGGGAUGAUAAUGACAGUACCGGGAGAAUAAGCUCCGGCUAACUCCGUG